CGGUGUGUUGGAUUUGUAUUGCCUUUAUUCUACUCCUUGAACCGAAAUCUCUUCCCAGGGGUUUGAUCGUAAGCCUAGUAGCGAUACGCUAAAUAGAUAGCGGAUCGUGUGCGCGUUUUCGAGUGAUUUAGUGAAGUGUUGCAAAGCUCCCAUUCCAUCUGUCUGCCCUAAUACGUAUUACCUUUCCUGUUCUGAUGCGCCAUCGGAAAGUUUUCUGUUAUGAUAAAAUAGAAUGUGUAAAAUAGAACGAAAUAUCUUUGCGGAUAGCAGAUCAAACGAAUCUUUCGGAAACCGCGUGUGUGCGUUGCUGGUAUUGCCGGGUGUGAUGCGCUGUGCAAUUGUUCUAUCACAGUCGACUUCCUCCAUUUUUCAUGACGGGUAAUUUUAACUCUUCCAGUGUUAUAUCGUUGAAUUGGCAUGUGACUUUUUGUUGGCCUUGUGUUCCAAUCGAAGGGGUGGAACUUGAAACCGUUUAUCGAUGUCCGGAAGUUUGCAAAUUCCACCAUGGUGGAGAGUGGUGCAACAAACUGGAUAGGAAUGUUGUGCUUAGGUUUCGAUUUUACCUCUCAUAAACUGUCGACAAACACACUUCUGUUGUGUGAACUAUUGGCAAUUCUCGAACAGCGGAGCUCAUCGAAAUGAACGGAUCGUCGUCUUUCGAUCUUUCUUCGUCGUCGACCACAACUACUCUUUACUGACAAAACCAAGUCGUAAAUCACGUUCCAGAACAAUGAAAAUCCCAACAGCUUCUCCCAUAUUUUGCACGGUGAAGAUCGAGGCACGACGAGGGAAAAAAAUCAGAGCUUAUCCCUUAACUUCGGCUUGGUGCCAAUGGCCGCAGCUGUACAAUAGCGAACAUUGACGGGUGUCAUGUCGACGAGGGGGGAAUUUAUUUCCGGUGCCCAUGUUGUCGCCGGACGGAUGCGAAUGUGGCGAGACUUUCGGCGCCAACGGUCCCCAUGCGAGCUGGGCGAUCCGAUGACCUCUCGGAAGAAAACACCCGGCAAACGGCUUUGCAUGAUCAUGACGCAUCGAAUGGCGCCACUGCUGCCGAUCGGAAGCUAGACAACUUCCUCGCUUAAAACCACGCACAGACUCCGAACAAAGAAAGCAUUGCGGUCCCCUGUUUCAGUAAGGGGAGAACGCGAAGUUGCUCGCGUACUUUUUUAAUCAACUCUGCCAGCGUUGGUGCUGCAUGAGAAGGGCCGCAAAAAUCGGUGUUAAUUUCGAAUACCCAGCGCUCGAGAAAGUUCCUGUCCUGCCGCAUGAAGACAUACAAAACCAAGUUGCAUGUUUUUACACCUCGUCUGCAUUCUUCUCGUUCCGGACGAAUCAAUUGCCGACCUCAACAAUAACAAUAGUACUGGCUGGAAUAUAAAUACUGGCAAACCGAGCAUAGCAAGGAUAAGGCAAAUUACCAGGAAGCAAUGUCUUGAAAAGUCGUGGGGUACUACUCAGCAAAGACCGAAUGGAACUGCAAAAACCGCACCUGUUGCUGCGACGAAGCUGGCUUCAUCUGUCAUCCGUAAGAUUAAGCAAACCAACUGACACAAAAACGGUUGCAUAAGCCUACUCCAACGCCUUAUUUGCAAUCAGCCAUUGAUUUCGUGUAAGGGGCAAUAAAACCUACUGGAAAAGAAAAAUGCAAAAAUUAGCACUGAAUGCAGUCCCCCGUAUGCACUCCAUUAGCAAUGCUGAACAACGAAAAGGAAUG